rnacentral:misc_RNA from 1 species
UCUCCGUAGGUGAACCUGCGGAGGGAUCAUUACAGAGUUCAUGCCCUCCGGGUAGAUCUCCCACCCAUUGCUAUAACUACUCUCGUUGCUUUGCCGGGCCGCUGGGCCCUGCCCGGCCGCCGGCCCCGGCUGGCGCGUGCCCGCCAGAGACCUCACAAACUCUGAAUGUUAGUGUCGUCCGAGUAACUAUACAAUCGUUAAAACUUUCAACAACGGAUCUCUUGGUUCUG